UACAGAGGGUGCAAGCGUUGCUCGGAAUCAUUGGGCGUAAAGGGUAGGUAGGUGGUCUCAUUUGUCUGGGGUGAAAGCCCAGGGCUUAACCCUGGAAGUGCCCCGGAAACGGUGAGACUGGAGUAUUGGAGAGGGUCGUGGAAUUCCCGGUGUAGCGGUGAAAUGCGUAGAUAUUAGCAGGAACACCGGUGGCGAAGGCGGCUAUCUGGACGACAACUGACGCUGAGGCGCGAAAGCGUGGGGAUCAAACAGG
rnacentral:rRNA from 1 species